UACGUAGGUGGCUAGCGUUGUCCGGAUUUACUGGGCGUAAAGGGCGCGCAGGCGGUCGUUCAAGUCGAGUGUGAAAGCCCCCGGCUCAACUGGGGAGGGUCACUCGAUACUGAUCGACUUGAAGGCGGGAGAGGGAAGCGGAAUUCCCGGUGUAGUGGUGAAAUGCGUAGAUAUCGGGAGGAACACCAGUGGCGAAGGCGGCUUUCUGGCCCGUUCUUGACGCUGAGGCGCGAAAGCUAGGGUAGCAAACGGG
rnacentral:rRNA from 1 species